rnacentral:rRNA from 1 species
GACGAACGCUGGCGGCGUGCCUAAUACAUGCAAGUCGAGCGGGCCUCUUCGGAGGCCAGCGGCGGACGGGUGAGUAACACGUGGGCAACCUGCCUGUAAGACUGGGAUAACACCGGGAAACCGGUGCUAAUACCGGAUAAUCCUUUCCUUCACAUGAGGGGAAGCUGAAAGACGGCAUCUCGCUGUCACUUACAGAUGGGCCCGCGGCGCAUUAGCUAGUUGGGGAGGUAACGGCUCACCAAGGCGACGAUGCGUAGCCGACCUGAGAGGGUGAUCGGCCACACUGGGACUGAGACACGGCCCAGACUCCUACGGGAGGCAGCAGUAGGGAAUCUUCCGCAAUGGACGAAAGUCUGACGGAGCAACGCCGCGUGAGCGAAGAAGGCCUUCGGGUCGUAAAGCUCUAUUGUCAGGGAAGAACAAGUACCGGAGUAACUGCCGGUGCCUUGACGGUACCUGACCAGAAAGCCACGGCUAACUACGUGCCAGCCGCCGCGGUAAAAC